GACGAACGCUGGCGGCGUGCUUAACACAUGCAAGUCGAACGAUGAAGCUAGAGCUUGCUCUGGUGAAUUAGUGGCGAACGGGUGAGUAACACGUGAGUAACCUGCCCCGAACUCUGGGAUAACUGCUGGAAACGGUAGCUAAUACUGGAUACGACCUACGAAGGCAUCUUCUGUAGGUGGAAAGAAUUUCGGUUCGGGAUGGACUCGCGGCCUAUCAGCUUGUUGGUGAGGUAAUGGCUCACCAAGGCGACGACGGGUAGCCGGCCUGAGAGGGUGACCGGCCACACUGGGACUGAGACGCGGCCCAGACUCCUACGGGAGGCAGCAGUGGGGAAUAUUGCACAAUGGGCGCUAGCCUGAUGCAGCAACGCCGCGUGAGGGAUGACGGCCUUCGGGUUGUAAACCUCUUUUAGUAGGGAAGAAGCGAAAGUGACGGUACCUGCAGAAAAAGCACCGGCUAACUACGUGCCAGCCGCCGCAGUAA
rnacentral:rRNA from 1 species